rnacentral:rRNA from 1 species
AAGAGUAAGAAUUUAAUUUUGGUUCCGAUUGAACGUUAUUCAGUAGUUUAAGACAUGCGAAUCGUUUUUACCGAAAGUUUUUUUAAAAAAACUAAAAAGAUAUUAGGUAAAAAGGUGUAAAGGUGAGAAUAGUAAAUAAGAUACCCUAUAGUCUCCGUAAAUAGGAGAUAUUUCUUUAAAUUUAAAAAAGAAAAUAAUAAGCUUUAAUUAUCCAAAAGGAAUUUUUCUGCUAUAGGAUUCGAUUUAUGUUGAUUAGGUAGUUGGUAGGGUAAAGGCCUACCAAGCCGACAAUCGAUAGUUAAGCUUGAGAGAGCCACUGGCCACAUUGGGAAUGAAAUCUCCCAAGUAGUAUAACACUACCAGCAGUCAAGAAUAUUAGUCAAUGCUCGCAAGAGUGAACUAGCUAACUGAAAUCAAUAAAAUAUUGAUAACGUAAGGGAAAAUAAUGAUAGAACCUUACUAUAAGUGUCGUCCAAAUCUGGUGCCAGAAGACUCGGUAAGGCCAGAGACGCGAACGUUAAUCGUCUUAAUCAGGCGUAAAGGGUGUGUAGGCAGCUUUAACAUUAUCAAUUUUCAAUUAGCACAAUAUAAAAUUAAUAAAAGCUUUUGACUUUUUUUUAAUAAUUAAAAUUAAAAUUUUUUUUAUUUAAGAACUGUUUAAUAUAAAAAGAAUUAUUAAUUUAAAAUAAAGGAAGAAUGAUAACAAUUAAAGCUAGAAUCAAAUAGAGGUUAUAUUAAAGAAUGCUUGGAGUAGGGCUGAUAUCCAUAGAUACCAGGUAGAAUAUUAAAAGCGAAGGCUUUUUUCCAUUAAUGAUUGACGCUGAGACACGAAGGGGAGGAAAGGAAAUAGGAUUAGAUACCCAAAAUACCCCUCCCUGUCAACGAUGAAUGGUGGUUACUAGUUAAAAAAUUAGUGGCGAUGUUAACACGAUAACCAUUCCGCCUUGUGAGUACGACUGCAAAGUUAAAAACAAAAAAAUUAGUCGGUUUCGAAGCAAACGAAGUGAAGCAUGUUAUUUAAUACGAUAAUCCGCGUAUAAUCUUACCAGGACUUGCAUACAAACUUUUAUAUUUAGUAAUAAAUAAAAAGGAGUGUAUUUAUACCAAUAAAACACUUAAGUACAGGUGUUGCAUGGCUGUCUUCAGUCCGUAUCGUGAGAAGUGAGGUUAAUUCCGCUAACGGACGCAAUCCCUAUUGUUAAUUCAUUGUAUAUAAAAAUACUUCUUACUUAACAAUUAAUGGUUCUGAUAUAGUACCAUUUGGGGCUAAGACAAGUCGUUAUGGCCCUAAUGUCCUGGGCUAUAGACGUGCCACAAAAACUUUUACAAAGUGAUGCGAAACUGUUCUCUGCUUUUGUAGUUUUUUAUUAUUUUUAAUUUUAGGUAUACUAUUUGAUUUUAAAUUAUAUUAAUAGAGUUAAAUUACAUUAGAAUUUAUACAUUUUUAUAAAAUGGAUAAUAUGAGAAAUAAGGAAGAGCUAAUCAUCAAAGAAAGUUAAUUUAUUAAAAUAUUAGUCGGAUUGUCGUCUGAAAUUCGGUGACAUGAAGAAGGAAUUUCGAGUAAUCGUUGAUCAUUAGGCGCAACGGUGAAAUUUGCAUUCGUGAUGAACUAACUGUCUGUCGCUGGGAAGAAGCUUAUAUUGAUGGAAAUAUAACGAAGUUAUUAUUUCUCAUAGAUAUACACUCAUUUUACAUUGAAUUUUCUUUGUUUAAUGACUUUAAGUUUGGUGUAGUUUACCUUGAUUAUUUAUUUAAUCCUUGAGUAAGUAAACAUCUAUGUCAAUAUAAUUAGUUGGACUUAAUUCAUUUAAGUAACAUCUCAAAAGUCAUAGCAAGGUAGCCGUACUGGAAAGUGCUGCUGGAAAAUAAAAUUU